GAGGUGGGCGCGGCUACCAUGCAGUCGAGCGGUAACAGGGGUAGCUUGCUACCCGCUGACGAGCGGCGGACGGGUGAGUAAUGCAUAGGAAUCUGCCCGAUAGUGGGGGAUAACCUGGGGAAACCCAGGCUAAUACCGCAUACGUCCUACGGGAGAAAGGGGGCUCCGGCUCCCGCUAUUGGAUGAGCCUAUGUCGGAUUAGCUAGUUGGUAAGGUAAUGGCUUACCAAGGCAACGAUCCGUAGCUGGUCUGAGAGGAUGAUCAGCCACAUCGGGACUGAGACACGGCCCGAACUCCUACGGGAGGCAGCAGUGGGGAAUAUUGGACAAUGGGGGCAACCCUGAUCCAGCCAUGCCGCGUGUGUGAAGAAGGCCCUCGGGUUGUAAAGCACUUUCAGCGAGGAAGAACGCCUAUCGGUUAAUACCCGGUAGGAAAGACAUCACUCGCAGAAGAAGCACCGGCUAACUCCGUGCCAGCAGCCGCGGUAAUACGGAGGGUGCAAGCGUUAAUCGGAAUUACUGGGCGUAAAGCGCGCGUAGGUGGCUUGAUAAGCCGGUUGUGAAAGCCCCGGGCUCAACCUGGGAACGGCAUCCGGAACUGUCAGGCUAGAGUGCAGGAGAGGAAGGUAGAAUUCCCGGUGUAGCGGUGAAAUGCGUAGAGAUCGGGAGGAAUACCAGUGGCGAAGGCGGCCUUCUGGACUGACACUGACACUGAGGUGCGAAAGCGUGGGUAGCAAACAGGAUUAGAUACCCCGGGUAGUCA
rnacentral:rRNA from 1 species